rnacentral:rRNA from 1 species
AGAGGGUGCAAGCGUUAAUCGGAAUUACUGGGCGUAAAGCGCACGUAGGUGGAUAAUUAAGUUGGGUGUGAAAGCCCCGGGCUCAACCUGGGAGUGUCAUUCAAAACUGGUUAUCUAGAGUACAGUAGAGGGAAGUGGAAUUUCCGGUGUAGCGGUGAAAUGCGUAGAUAUCGGAAGGAACAUCAGUGGCGAAGGCGACUUCCUGGACUGAUACUGACACUGAGGUGCGAAAGCGUGGGUAGCGAACAGGGAUUAGAUACCCUGGUAGUCCACGCCGUAAACGAUGAGAACUAGCUGUUGGUGAUAUAAAAAUCAUUAGUGGCGCAGCUAACGCGUUAAGUUCUCCGCCUGGGGAGUACGGCCGCAAGGUUA